UUUGCAGGAAAAGACUCAGAAAGACCAUUUAGGACUGUACUUAACAGCUGUUGAAAAGUGGUCGGCACUCCUUUAUCAAUGAUAUCUCCUCAUUUUCUUAACAAUGGAUAUCAACAGUUGCUCCUACUCCUCGCUUUCCUCUUUCACUCAACAUAAAGCAGACUCGAUACUCCUCAAUGCCUCACCAAGGUUCGUUAGCUUCAUUAAUAUUGUUAUUGUUUCAAUAAAUUUGUUUACUGGUUUUUAUCCUUUUCUUAACUAUUUAAGUAUAUCAGGCGUCAUAUUAGUGUUAUUGAUUUUUUGUAAAAUUUUGAUAAUCUGGAUAAAAACCGUUUUUUUUCUUAAGAUUUUGCAAAAUAAAAUACUUGUUAAGAACAAUUAACUUUAUUUUAUGAAUAGGACCAUUAUUUCUGUUUAUAUUGUCUUUUUUUUAUUUAUAUUUUGAUGCUCUAUUUAUUAUCUAAUCGCCUCUAGUUUGAGGCAUGUUUGAUUAAUUUUAUAUCAUUAACAUCUAUGCAUUAAUCUUUAUGAAAAAUAUGUUGAGCAAUAUAAUAAUAAUCUGUUAUAAUUUCUCUUCAAUCUCAUUUAUCUUUUAUUUUUGCAUUCAUUAAAAAUCAUUAGAUAUUGUAAUUAUUAAUUAAAUUGUUAGUUGUAUUAUAACGUAAUAUUUUUUUAAUAGAAUUAAAGAGAUUCUUUAUAAAUUUGUAUCAUUACCAAUUUUUUAUAGUAGUAGUUUUUUAAUUAUUUUUAAUUAAUUACUCUAAAUUAAUUCCGGAUUAUCAAAAUUAUAAAUGUUAUGCUUGCGCAGCUGCGUCACUAUAGCUCUGUGAACACGAGUAUUAUUUUGGUUUAAAAGUUUAUAUUUUUAAAUAUUUUAUUUAUUGUAUUAACACAAACUAUAUUUUAUGGAAUUUAUCUAACUAUAUCUACGAUCAGAUGAUAAUUUAAUAGUUUAAUGGUCAAUUUAAUCAUUUUUUAUAAGUUCUAGAUUGAUUAUUUUUAGCAAAAUAAUCCAUUUUGUUAAUACUUGUGUUCAUAUAGUUUUUCUUUGCUUUUAUGAAAUAUUUUUGGUACCAUAGGACAGGGGCGUGCAUACGAGUGUGGUAAAGGGAAUAAUUACCCAUCCCAGAAAGAAAUUUAUAAAUAAAAUAAAAAUAAUUACAAUUCCAAGUUUAUUUUUUUUCCUCCGAUUACUAAAAAACUUUUUAGCAAAAAUUUCAUUCAAAUCUACUAGUUUACUUAAAUAUUGCAAUUAUUCCUCCCAGAUCCAGUCUCUAGAUGCGCCACUGGCCUAGGGACAGAUGUUUUUUCAUGAUUGAUCAAUUUUUAUCAUUAUAAUUUUUUUUCAAACGUCAGAAAUUAUUAAUUUUUGCGACGUGAUUGACAAUAUAAAAAAUAUUUUAAUGCCUAGGCAUAAAAAUACGAAAAAAUAUAUAUAUUAAACUGACAUUAAGUGUCAAAUUUAACGAGCGUAAUCAUAGUUUCUCGAUAUAUAAUUACUUACUUUCAAAUGUUUUUAUUUUAUUUGCGUCGUUCUUUGUGUUUAAAUCAUUGCAUCAAUUAUUUGUGACGUUUGAAAAAAAUAGUAUGUUCUAUUCGGAGUAAAAAUGACUUUUUGUGCCUCGCCUGUAAUGUCGAACGUACAGCGUCGCCACAAAAAGUAUCAUUUUUACUCCUAAUAAAUCGAUAUACCUACUAUUUUGUAUUGUUAUAUGUCAUGUGUAAUAUAGUCUAUCCAAUGAGAGGAUCCCUGACAGUGACAGUUGUGUUUGUCAUUUUAAUUAACAGGUAAAUUGUAUUUUCUGUCAUUUUUAAGGAUAUGUUAUCUGUCAAACUCUUCUUCGGCUCGUUGAACAGGCUAUAUAGAGUAAGCCAUUUUGUAUAUAUUUGUAAUAAUAAUAAUAAUGUAAUAAUUGUAAUACAGCCAAAUGGAACAAAUUCGAUAAUAAGUAAAUAGGAAUAUGUCGUAAAAAACGCUUGCCCACGCGGACUGACAUUUUUAGUUGCGCAUUUUAUUCAACAAAGAUUUUUAUACAGGGUUUGUCAUGAAACAGUCGCUAAUGCCGAUUUUUAUUGUAUAUUCUAAAAUUUAGCGCAUCUGUCAUAACAUAAUACAAAUUAACUUAACAAUUUUAUUUUUUACAUACAACAUUGCUGUUUAUCCUAAUUUCAAACAAACAUUAUACUACUUAUUUAUAUAUUUUUUUCUAUUUUUUUGUAAACUGGAAAAAAAAAAUUUUUAUAUUUAUAUAUUUUUUUCUAUUUUUUUGUAAAUAAAUAAAAAAUAAAAAGUCUUUGGUUGUCAUAAUUUGGAUGUCAUAAGCUCUCAAUUGUUACAGUUAUUGGUAUAAACAUGUUUAAUGUUUUACCCUGUAUAUUAGCAGUGUAUUAAAUAGCACUUUUUUCUGAUUUCAAAGAUUAUCACACAUGCUUUUUAAUUUUAACAAUGUAAAAAUGUUGUAAGUUGUCAAUUUUGUUAAUGUUAUUCGUAUGAAAUAUAUGUUUUUAAAAUGGGACACCCUAUAUAUUAAAAGUAAUUAUAGCAGAUUUUUUUUAUAUCAAAAAUAUAUUAAUUUUUAACAGAGACCAGAGUAUAUUCAUAUUAUAUCUAAAAGAUUCUAAGAUCGCCUAGCGCAUUCGCCAUAAUAUAAACUAAGUGAAACUAUUUAAUUAUUUUUUUAAAUAAUAUUUAUUAUCGCAUUUAUUCCAUAUUCGUUUGUCUUGAUCGAAGUUCUGUAAUUAAUUAUCUAGAAGUACAUGGGGCACCAUCUGUUUGUUAUAACGCUUCUUUUUUAAUAUUUUGUCUGUGAUUUUCAACUUAAAAACUUUGUGUUUGACGUUAAAAUUAUUUGCAAACGCUUCUUAAAUAUAAAGUCGGAUAAAAAUUUAAUCAUUAUUAUUUUUUUACUAAUUGAAUGUCUCAUUUUGUUGAUUUAACGUUAAUUAUUUAAAUAUUAUAAUCAUUCUUAUUUCAGUUUAGAGUAAUUUUUUUGGCUAACGCAUUUUUCUUUAAGUACUUAAUAUCUUUAGCUUAUUGUUACUAUUAUUACUUACCUUAUUGUUUCGUAAUAUAAAAUUUAGAUCGUUGUAAAAUAUUGAAAAUUACCUCAUUAGAAUAACAAUAAAACACAGAGUUAAUAAAAAAUAUAUAUUUAUUUAUUUUUUCAUCUAAUAAUAAAGUACAGUAUAAUUAAUAUAAAAUUAUAUGUUGUUAAUAAAUAUAUGGAUGCUACAGGUACAUCUAAUUGUUUUACACAGUUUUUUCUAAUAUUUGUUUUGUAUCUAUGUAAAACUUUAGUGUCGCACAUUUUUUAAUGUUACAUUUUGCUUUUAUAUGUAAUAUAAUCAAUAUAAGGUGUUUUUUUUCAGUACAAAUAUUUAAUUAAAUAACUUAAUUUGCAAAGUAAGGUAAUUAUAAUAUUAUUGGUUUUGUUGUUCUAAUUUUUAGAAGUUUUUAAUUGUGCUAUAAGAAGAAAAAUUGAUAAAACACUCCUCAAUUUGAUUGAAUACACCUAAUAUUGAUUAUAAAUAUUAUUAAUUGAUGUGUCCCACUUGCUGUGGUUAUCAAACUUUUAAUUAAAAAAUAUUUCGGGUUUUUGUAAUUUAAGAUGAUUUGUUGGUUGCCUAUAUUUUCUUAAAAAUCUUUUUGAAACCAACAACUAUUAGAUGGAUUUAUAAUUCUUUUUUUGCUUUUGUUAAACAAAUGUAACAUAUUUUUAAAUUUUAUAUGUUAAUUUACAUAUACUAUAUACAGGGUGACCCAGUAUACCGAAACAUUUUCAAAUCAAGUUAGAGUUUUUCAUUAUUCUUUCUUGCAAAAUAUUUUAAUAGAUAUACUUUUGUUUUAAUAGAUAUACACGGUGAUUCUACUAUAAUUUUACACUUAAUGUUGCAGUUUUUUUAAAUGGGAAGGUUUAUAUUUUGUUUGCUCAGUAGAUUUACUAUAGAAAUUUUCAAAUUUUAAAUAACAUCAGUAUUAUUUUAUGUUUUUCAUAAAAUAGAUUUUCAUGUAUAUAGUGUCUUUUUCAAAACUAUAUGCAUUUAUUUUAUUUAGAAAAUUGGACAAUACAAGUUUUAAAAAUGUCUGAAAAUCUAACUGAAGUCAAAAAUAACUCAGUUUAAAUUAAUAGUAAAAUCUUAAACAAAAAGGGUACAAAAAGUAUGAGCUCUAUAAAUUAUUAUAGAUAAUUCUUUUUAGUUUUUUUAAAAGGAAUACUACAACAUUAGUAUAAAAAUAUUUUUGUAUUACCCUGUAUAUGUAUAAGAAUAUUUUCAAUAUGUGCUCUACCAUUGUCGUCAUUUGUAAAAAAAUGGAGUGUGAAAAUCGCAAACAGAAAAAAUUAUAUUAGGUCUUUUUAGUAUACCGGGUCACCCUGUAUUUUGACAUACGCUUUUUGUCUCAAUGGCAUAGACAGUGUUGAUAACCACAGUAAAAAAUAUACAGGGUCCUGCAACAAAGCGGCUUAAGUUAAUUUUAAGUGCAGACUAAAAACGUGCACUAGAUCGUAUUUCAGGAAAUUAUGUUCAGUUGCAUAGGGUGUCUCAAAAAAGUGUGGAUGUAUUAAAUGUUUCUCUUUUUCACGUUUUUACACUAAAUUUGUUUUGAUAGUUCAAGAGAAAUAAGUACAUAAAAUAUAGGUGCACGUUUUUCAGAGACAUUUAGUGCGAUAAAAAAUUAAGUUAUACAUUUUUUAGAAUAAUUCUCAUCGUCUUUUGUUUAUUUUUAUUUCACUCUCUGGCUCCUACCUCCAAUAGGGAAAGUUGCAUGAAUCGCACUAAAUAUAUCUGAAAACUGUACAUAUACCGUAUGAUCGAAAAAAACGGCGUCCAGUUGGCUGGGAAAUGAACAUCGAUGAUAUUUCCCAUAUAAUUUUACAUAUAAAAUGACAGCGAUCUUCAUUUCACAGCCAUCGCUGACGCAGUUUUUUUUUCAGUCAUAUUGUAUUUUUCAGCUAUUUUGUAAAAAAAAAUACCAGGCUUGAAAUAGAAACAAUGCUUGGUAUUUACUAUACAGGUGGUCUGUACUAACGAUUAUAAAUGUUAUAACUAUACAGGGUGCUCAAAAUUUAAUAUGAACGUGGUUAAAACAUACAGUAAUUUUUCUUGGGUUUUCGUAAAAGUAAAAUACAGGACAAAAAACUAUUAGGUGAAAAAGUCGUGUCAAUAUUUCACUGCGUUCCUUUUAAAAAAUAAGAAAUUUUAGCAAGUUCGGCAUCGAAUUUUGUUCCCCCUGUACAAUGUACGAUUACGAUAUUCAUGAUAAAGUUAGUAUAAACCAACUCUAAACACUUAAUUUUUAACUCUAUGGUAAACACCGUCGUCAAUUUAUAGAUUUUUAGUUAUUUUUUAAAAUAUACUGUAAGGUAUAUAUUUUCAUUGGAACAAGCUCUGGAACUAUCAAAAUUACUACAGUGACAAGAAAGGAAUACUUCACACUCGCACUUUUUUUAGAUAUCCUGUAUAUAAUUUUUUUUGUGAAAUAGAGCGUAGCCAAGAGUGGGCCGAGAGUAAGCUAGAGAUUAAAAAAUUGCCUUAAGGGUCAAGUUUUCGAGAAAUUUGCAAAAAACGAGGAUUUUGUUUUACUGCGCCCUCUAGGCCAUCGACUGGCGACGCUCUUCUUUUGCAUUCAGUAAGAUCUGGCCAACGCGUCAGGGAAAAUCUCGACAGACGACAUCCAAAAAAUGACAGGAAAUACAAUUUACAUGUUAAUUAAAAUGACAGACAUAGCUGUCACGCCAUGUACCCUCUCGUUGGACAAACUAUACACAGUUUAGGUCUGCACUUAAUGCGUCUGCAAUAACUGGCGUACUGUUUGUUGCUGGACCCUGUAUAUGGAGUAUCCCAUUUAGUUAGUGGGUUUUUUGGCUUAUUAUUUAGUUACAUUUUUGCUAUCCCACUUAGUAUUCUUGAUACGGGGCGAAUUUGAAAAUGUGGCAGUGUCAGAUCCCUUCGUAUCACAGUUAUAUAAAAUUUUAUGAUUUUUCGAAGAAUCCAGUGGCCUUAUUAGUUUCUGUUUUUGUCCAAUAUAAUUUUGACAAAUGUUUAUUUUUAAUUGGGACAACCUGAAUAUUAUGAAAUUAAUUCGUCCUUUUACAAGCUUAUUAAAAAUAGAUAACACUGUGUCAUUAAAACAUACAUUAAUUUUUCUUAGAAGAAUUUUUGAGAAGCUUGUAAAAAUAUUCCCUUGGCAAAUAUACAGGGUGUCCCAUUUAAAACAAAGUAAAUAUUGGUCAAUAUUUGGUAUAUAAAACUCUUAAAAGUAAAACUAAAUAAGCCUUUGGUUUCUAUGUAAAUAGUUUUAUAAAAAUGCGUUUUUAUCUUUUUAACAUGUCAGGCUAGUGAGAUACGACGGGUGUCCGAAAUGCAACAUUUUUAUUAUCAUCCUUAGCAUGGAAACUGCGAAGGCUAUGUUAUAGUUUCACUUAAAUGUAAUUCAAGUUUGUAGAAACUGUUAGGUUCUAUUAAUAAAACAAUAUCUUGUCAA